GUGUUUGCUUUGGUAGCACAUAUACUAGAAAUGGCCCCUGCACAAGGAUGACAUGCAAAUUUGUGACGCAUUCCAUAUUUUU
ensembl:snRNA U6 U6 spliceosomal RNA